rnacentral:rRNA from 1 species
UGACCUACGGGUGGCUGCAGUGGGGAAUUUUGGACAAUGGGCGCAAGCCUGAUCCAGCCAUGCCGCGUGAGUGAAGAAGGCCUUCGGGUUGUAAAGCUCUUUCGGUGGGGAAGAAAUUGCACUUGAUAAUACCGAGUGUAGAUGACGGUACCCGCAUAAGAAGCACCGGCUAACUACGUGCCAGCAGCCGCGGUAAUACGUAGGGUGCGAGCGGUAAUCGGAAUUACUGGGCGUAAAGCGUGCGCAGGUGGUUGGGUAAGUCAGAGGUGAAAUCCCCGGGCGCAACCGGGGAACUGCAUUUGAGACUGCACGGCUAGAGGAUGGCAGAGGGGGGUAGAAUUCCACGUGUAGCAGUGAAAUGCGUAGAGAUGUGGAGGAAUACCGAUGGCGAAGGCAGCCCCCUGGGCUAUUACUGACACUCAUGCACGAAAGCGUGGGGAGCAAACAGGAUUAGAUACCCUGGUAGUCGUC